rnacentral:rRNA from 1 species
GUGAGGAAUAUUGGGCAAUGGGGGAAACCCUGACCCAGCGACGCCGCGUGAGGGAAGAAGGUCUUCGGAUUGUAAACCUCUGUCUUCGGGGACGAUAAUGACGGUACCCGGGGAGGAAGCCACGGCUAACUACGUGCCAGCAGCCGCGGUAAAACGUAGGUGGCAAGCGUUGUCCGGAAUUACUGGGUGUAAAGGGAGCGCAGGUGGGGCUGUAAGUCGAAUGUGAAAUCUAUGGGCUCAACUCAUAAAUUGCGUUCGAUACUAUAGUUCUUGAGUGGAGUAGAGGCAGGCGGAAUUCCCGGUGUAGCGGUGGAAUGCGUAGAUAUCGGGAGGAACACCAGUGGCGAAGGCGGCCUGCUGGGCUUUAACUGACACUGAGGCUCGAAAGCGUGGGUAGCAAACAGGAUUAGAUACCCCUGUAGUCC